UAUCCACGAAAUCUAGACACCUGUCACUAUACGGCCAGUCUAUUAGUGUGCACAUAUUUAUAAAUGUUGAAAAUAUUUGGCGUGCGAAAGAGGCGUGGCGAGUGUGGCGUAGGCGAUCACAGUUCCAGCGAACUCCUCAGUUCUCUGGAGCCGUUUGUCCGGUGAAGGUGUCAAGUAGCCAUCAUGCCUAACCACGAGACCACGAACCUGAUCGCCACCUACCUGAUCCUGGUGCUGCUUCUCGCCAGCCUCUGGUUGCUAUACUCGGGGAUGUUCUGAGAAGCUGUUCAACAACUCAAACUUGAGACCAAUCCAAGAUGGCGGUCAACAAACGCUAUAAAAACAUUUAAUAUUUAGGAAACCGUAAUUUUAGUAAAUAAGUUAAUCGUAAGUUUAAGCAUUGUACACCCAAGCAUUUAAAUAAUUUAAAACCAUGGACAAGACUAGAGGGGUCACAUAGCAUGGAACAAAACACCAGUCAACGUGAACAUUUGACAGUGCUGGGCAUUCCAAUAUGAAUAAAGUCAAAACUAAAAAUAACCAAUGUGAAAGACAACACGUUAUGGAAAAAUAUCUAAUUUCAGAGAAAUGUUAUUGAGUUAGCUAAUUUAUUGUUGAUGUUCGGUACAAAUCAUCUCGUUAAAGAAUUGAUCGUUGUUAUAUGAGAUAAGAGAGUUUUUGUAAUAAAGGUUUUAUAGAA